GGAGUUGUGGCUCAGUGGUAGAGCGGUAGAUUGCAAACAGAGCAAACAAGCCUUUAAAAGGUUAAAAUAACUCUGGAAUAUCAUCUAUAGGUCCCGUGUUCGAUCCACGGCAGCUCCU